rnacentral:lncRNA from 1 species
GAGAGAUUGGAGAGGUAGAUUCGCACGGUGAUAGUGCAAGCAGCUUGCUUCUAAUUAAAUAUGCGACUGAGUCUCAAAGCAUUCGCUUUCAGCCGCAGAGAGAAGAAGCUGCCCAAGAAUGGAAAGGAAGAAAUAUAUCACAUCAUCUGUCUGUCCACAGGCUUUCCUCUGGGCUUAUGGAGAUUUCCUAGGGGUAAUUAUUUCCCACUGACUCAGACCACAGGACAGUGUGAGCACCUAACAAAUAGGACUGCAGUUAAGAG